AAACCUAAUCACUCUUCUGUCAAGUGGUCAUUUAUUAUUUUAGAGCUUUCAUUUCUGAUUUGUUAGAAUAUCAUCUCAUUCUCUCUCUCUCUCUCUCUCUCUCAGAUGCUCCUCAGUUCUCUCCCUCCUCCAGCUGUAACACCACUCAGGAUCUGAUCCUGUGUUCCUGUGAGGUUCAUGGAAAUCCGUCUCCUAAACUGGAGUGGCGUCUCUCAGGUCAAACUGUCCUGCCGUCAGAAGCCACGCCCAUCCAAGUGGAGUCUGUGGGCAACACGAGUUUAAGAAGAUCCAGUGCGUUUUCCAUCCCUCAGUCAGUUAAGGACACGCCCACUCUGCAGUGUGUUGGCUCCAAUAAUCUGGGCAACGCCUCUCAGGUCUUCUUCUUCAUAACUAAGGCUCAGAGGCCUGCUGAAGAACACACUGCAGUACUUUAUCUGGUUCUAUCUCUCUCUGUGGUUCUCCUUCUGUGUGUUGGUGUUAUUGGAUUUCUCGUCUACAAAUUAAAGCAAUUGUCCAGGAAAAUAAAGGUUCUACAGACAGGAGAUACUUAUGCUUCUCUCCAGCUCUCUGCUGUACAGAACUCUGAUUAUGAAACUCUGCAGACUAACAGAGGGAGGAGAGAAAAAAAGAACAACUCCUGAAAAGCUGCACUUUUUCAUCACUUAUUUUUCUGCCAGUAAAAUAAUUAUCAUUGAAGAAUAUUAAAGAUAUAAAGGAAUGUGCUGGCAUACAUUUUAUCAGUUUAUAGUUACAUGUAAUGUUGUGGAACUUUGAUGAAACAAGUUAGUUUCUGUUCCCAGUUACAUUAUAGCAAUUAUAAACUUGUUUACAUGCAAGUUAACUAAUAAUGUUUGCAUUUGCAUUAGCCUUAAUUAAACCACAUAAUUGCUAUUUUUACAGUGUAGCUACCAUAAACAUUUGGUAAAUCACUUAGUUGCUACUAUAACUGCUGUUUUACUCUUA